rnacentral:lncRNA from 1 species
UGGAUCUGGGUUCAUGAUAGAUUCGCUCUGAUAGCACACAUGACUAGAGUAGAUAACAUUACUGCAUCUAAUCAUGUAGAAUUUUUCAUAGACAGACAUUUUAUGAACCGACAUGGUAACGAUAACACAUGCACGAUUGAAAGUGACUCUAAAAAUAUAAAAAGUUUAAGAUACUUUUUCAAUCGAGCAUCGGCGAUUCGAUAGCUUUGUUUUCACAC